AUUGAACGCUGGCGGCAGGCCUAACACAUGCAAGUCGAGCGGAUGAAGGGAGCUUGCUCCUGGAUUCAGCGGCGGACGGGUGAGUAAUGCCUAGGAAUCUGCCUGGUAGUGGGGGAUAACGUCCGGAAACGGGCGCUAAUACCGCAUACGUCCUGAGGGAGAAAGUGGGGGAUCUUCGGACCUCACGCUAUCAGAUGAGCCUAGGUCGGAUUAGCUAGUUGGUGGGGUAAAGGCCUACCAGGCGACGAUCCGUAACUGGUCUGAGAGGAUGAUCAGUCACACUGGAACUGAGACACGGUCCAGACUCCUACGGGAGGCAGCAGUGGGGAAUAUUGGACAAUGGGCAAAAGCCUGAUCCAGCCAUGCCGCGUGUGUGAAGAAGGUCUUCGGAUUGUAAAGCACUUUAAGUUGGGAGGAAGGGCAGUAAGUUAAUACCUUGCUGUUUUGACGUUACCAACAGAAUAAGCACCGGCUAACUUCGUG
rnacentral:rRNA from 1 species